UUCCUGCUAGAGUAUGACCCUCUCUGGUGCUUGUCAUCCACAAGUGGUGUGUGGUGGACUUGCUGGGGAGAGUGUCUGCAGCCAGGCUUCAUGGAGGGAGGAAUGGAGCUUGAGGGACUGUAAUGGUUGUGAAUGGAGUUGGUCCCCAGCACUCUCUGGUGGCCGUAUGACCUUGGGCAUGUCUCCUGACCACUCUAAGCAGCUUUUGAUUCUCCCGUCCAAGAGGGUAGGCCCCCUGUUCCUAUUCACAGGAUCCAUAAAGUGUCUCAAAGAGACAGGAUAGUGCCAGCCCCAGAGAGAGGGGGCUGUGGAGGGACAUCUGCCCCCAGGGCUUCUCAGUGGCAUCUCCUGGCUGGCCCCUGACACUCAAUCUUCCUUGGUUUCCAAGAUGCCUCAUGGUCUUCCCCCUCCCUAACAUCCCUGACCUCCCUUUUCUGUCCCCUUUGCAACUCAUUGUCCUCUACCUGCCAUCAGAUGUGGCUGUUCCUCAGGCUCAGUCCGGAGUCCUCUCUUCUCACUCAGCAUCUGUCCCCCUGUGACCUUGUCUGCACCCACAGCUCCAGUUACAAGGCACGAGGUUCGGUUACGAAAUCCCUCACAGAUUUAUAACUGCAGGCUUGGCUCCUUCCGGGAGCUUGAGACCCACUGCCGCCUCCGCAACACCUCCACCUGGGAGUUUCAGAGGCGCUCUCCCUCAGCGUGUCUGCAGCUGCGUGCCUGCCUUCCCCCUGCACCUGCCCUGCUCCCCAGGUCCCUUUCUCAGACCUAAGCCUGCCCGGGCUUCACAGGCUGAGGGUCCACCUUGCCACCUCCCUUUGCCUUGGUCCUCGUGGAGCCCUGGCUCCACCAUCUGCUGGCUUCUCCCCAUCUACUCUGUGUCACUCCAUCUGACCACCACCGUCUCCAUCAGGCCAGUUGGAACACCUCUUAGCACUCUCGCCCCCACCCAGUCCACCCUCCACCCGACAGCCAGAGUGAGCCAUGCCAGAUACAAUCCAGGUCAUGCCACACAGCUGGAUAAAAUCAUCUUCAGCCCGGCCCUCAGGCCCUGCGUGCUUGGACCCUGCUGGGCCCUCUCCAGCCUCCCCCUGCACCAGGCCUCCUCUACAACUUCACUCUGGCCCUGCUGUUCUUUU
rnacentral:lncRNA from 1 species